rnacentral:rRNA from 1 species
UAGGGAAUCUUCCGCAAUGGACGAAAGUCUGACGGAGCGACGCCGCGUGAGCGAAGAAGGUCUUCGGAUCGUAAAGCUCUGUUGUUAGGGAAGAAGAAGUGCCGUUCGAACAGGGCGGCACGGUGACGGUACCUAACGAGAAAGCCCCGGCUAACUACGUGCCAGCAGCCGCGGUAAUACGUAGGGGGCGAGCGUUGUUCGGAAUUAUUGGGCGUAAAGCGCGCGCAGGCGGUCCCUUAAGUCUGAUGUGAAAGCCCACGGCUUAACCGUGGAGGGUCAUUGGAAACUGGGGGACUUGAGUGCAGAAGAGGAGAGCGGAAUUCCACGUGUAGCGGUGAAAUGCGUAGAGAUGUGGAGGAACACCAGUGGCGAAGGCGGCGCUCUGGUCUGUAACUGACGCUGAGGCGCGAAAGCGUGGGGAGCAAACAGG